rnacentral:rRNA from 1 species
CAGGCUUAACACAUGCAAGUCGAGGGGCAUCAGGAAGAAAGCUUGCUUUCUUUGCUGGCGACCGGCGCACGGGUGAGUAACACGUAUCCAACCUGCCCUUUACUCGGGGAUAGCCUUUCGAAAGAAAGAUUAAUACCCGAUAGCAUAAUGAUUCCGCAUGGUUUCAUUAUUAAAGGAUUCCGGUAAAGGAUGGGGAUGCGUUCCAUUAGGUUGUUGGUGAGGUAACGGCCCACCAAGCCUUCGAUGGAUAGGGGUUCUGAGAGGAAGGUCCCCCACAUUGGAACUGAGACACGGUCCAAACUCCUACGGGAGGCAGCAGUGAGGAAUAUUGGUCAAUGGGCGCUAGCCUGAACCAGCCAAGUAGCGUGAAGGAUGAAGGCUCUAUGGGUCGUAAACUUCUUUUAUAUAAGAAUAAAGUGCAGUAUGUAUACUGUUUUGUAUGUAUUAUAUGAAUAAGGAUCGGCUAACUCCGUGCCAGCAGCCGCGGUAAUACGGAGGAUCCGAGCGUUAUCCGGAUUUAUUGGGUUUAAAGGGAGCGUAGGUGGACUGGUAAGUCAGUUGUGAAAGUUUGCGGCUCAACCGUAAAAUUGCAGUUGAUACUGUCAGUCUUGAGUACAGUAGAGGUGGGCGGAAUUCGUGGUGUAGCGGUGAAAUGCUUAGAUAUCACGAAGAACUCCGAUUGCGAAGGCAGCUCACUGGACUGCAACUGACACUGAUGCUCGAAAGUGUGGGUAUCAAACAGGAUUAGAUACCCUGGUAGUCCACACAGUAAACGAUGAAUACUCGCUGUUUGCGAUAUACAGUAAGCGGCCAAGCGAAAGCAUUAAGUAUUCCACCUGGGGAGUACGCCGGCAACGGUGAAACUCAAAGGAAUUGACGGGGGCCCGCACAAGCGGAGGAACAUGUGGUUUAAUUCGAUGAUACGCGAGGAACCUUACCCGGGCUUAAAUUGCAGUGGAAUGAUGUGGAAACAUGUCAGUGAGCAAUCACCGCUGUGAAGGUGCUGCAUGGUUGUCGUCAGCUCGUGCCGUGAGGUGUCGGCUUAAGUGCCAUAACGAGCGCAACCCUUAUCUUUAGUUACUAACAGGUUAUGCUGAGGACUCUAGAGAGACUGCCGUCGUAAGAUGUGAGGAAGGUGGGGAUGACGUCAAAUCAGCACGGCCCUUACGUCCGGGGCUACACACGUGUUACAAUGGGGGGUACAGAAGGCAGCUAGCGGGUGACCGUAUGCUAAUCCCAAAAUCCUCUCUCAGUUCGGAUCGAAGUCUGCAACCCGACUUCGUGAAGCUGGAUUCGCUAGUAAUCGCGCAUCAGCCACGGCGCGGUGAAUACGUUCCCGGGCCUUGUACACACCGCCCGUCAAGCCAUGGGAGCCGGGGGUACCUGAAGUACGUAACCGCAAGGAUCGUCCUAGGGUAAAACUGGUGACUGGGGCUAAG